GACGAACGCUGGCGGCGUGCUUAACACAUGCAAGUCGAACGGAAAGGCCCUGCUUUUGUGGGGUGCUCGAGUGGCGAACGGGUGAGUAACACGUGAGUAACCUGCCCUUGACUUUGGGAUAACUUCAGGAAGCUGGGGCUAAUACCGGAUAGGAGCUCCUGCUGCAUGGUGGGGGUUGGAAAGUUUCGGCGGUUGGGGAUGGACUCGCGGCUUAUCAGCUUGUUGGUGGGGUAGUGGCUUACCAAGGCUUUGACGGGUAGCCGGCCUGAGAGGGUGACCGGCCACAUUGGGACUGAGAUACGGCCCAGACUCCUACGGGAGGCAGCAGUGGGGAAUAUUGCACAAUGGGCGGAAGCCUGAUGCAGCAACGCCGCGUGCGGGAUGACGGCCUUCGGGUUGUAAACCGCUUUCGCCUGUGACGAAGCGUGAGUGACGGUAAUGGGUAAAGAAGCACCGGCUAACCACGUG
rnacentral:rRNA from 1 species